rnacentral:misc_RNA from 1 species
UCCGAGUUGACCCCGGCAGUCUCCCAUGAGUCCCCAACUAAAUGCUGGCAACAUGGAACGAGGGUUGCGCUCGUUGCGGGACUUAACCCAACAUCUCACGACACGAGCUGACGACAGCCAUGCACCACCUGUACACCACCAAAAGAAACCACAUCUCUGCGGCGACAUGGUGUAUGUCAAACCCAGGUAAGGUGGGGAUGACGUAGGAGGAAUUCCA